AUGUUCUUCAUAGAGCCCUUGGUACUUUUUGCCUGUCUACACAUACUGAGACACAGACACAAAACCCACCCACUCCCUCUCAAGCGUAUUUAACUUUCGUUCAUCCGCAUUCGGGUACAUACAGCUCAUUAAACCUGAAAUAUGAUUCGAGCAGCGCUUACCAUGGGCAGAGUGACGCCUGGAAAGAGAUCCAUGUAGAUGCCAAUGAAGAGGGAAAUGUCCUGCUCGAGGAAUUUCGGCAAAUUGACAUCAACAAUGGCACGCAAAACAAUCUCCGGCUCCGGCAGGUCCACGUAGAGGCGUCGCAGCGAUGCGGAGGCCAGCAGCACGGACUUGACGGCGCGCAUACCUGUGUCGAUGGAUAGAUGGACAUGGACAUGAACAGGGAGGAAGGAAUUAUAGUUUGAGAAUGUAUUUGAUGGCGUUGGAUGGCGUCGAGGAGCCUGGCUCCCGUCCUGCCUGUGGCCAGAGCUUCAUUAUAGCGCCAGGGAAAUGCUAAACUUUUGCAACGUUGCAAAAACAGCUGGACAGGACAGCAGAGAGGAGGAGGUGGUGGACUUCCAGGAUAUGUUUUUGUCUUAUCUGGAAUGCUCCUCUUACC